rnacentral:ncRNA from 15 species
UAAUUAGCUCAGUUGGUAGAGUGCAAUACUGUUAUUAGUGUGGUUGUGGGUUUGAUUCCCACAGU